UAGUUCACGACAAUCCACGUGCCACACGGCUGCCGCACGUCAAACCUCACAUUCGCAACCAUGAAGCUGCUGAUCGCAAUCACCGCUCUUAUUGCCGUUGCGGCGGCUCUUCCCCAAAGGAAGGUUUCGUUGAAGCCAGAACAGCAAGUGGAAGACCAACUCCCACUUGAACAAAACUUCAACAACUAUCAGCCCCAGCAACAGGAAUAUAGACAAGCAAAACCAGUCGAUGACUUCAGACCUAAAGUCCAAUUGGAGACCAGUACCUACAUCCCCAUUAUCCGUUUCGAUAAGGAACAAGGAACCGACGGAAGCUACAAAACUUCAUAUGAAACUGGUAACAACAUUCAGGCUCAAGAGCAGGGUUAUUUGAAGACAGUCGGUGAUAACCAAGACAACACUGCUCUGGUCCAACAGGGAUCCUAUACAUACACAGCCCCUGAUGGUCAAGUCAUUACCGUCGAGUACACCGCUGACGAGUUCGGUUUCAGAGUUUCCGGUGACCACAUCCCUACCCCUCCCCCUGUAUCGGCUGAAAUUCAAAAAGGCCUUGACCUUAUCUACGCCGGCAUCAAGGCUAACCAGGUAAAGUCUGAUUAUUAAUACCGAAUGUCAAUGACAGCGAAAGUGAAGACGAACGAAUUAAUUACGUAAAAGAUGUUCAACAUUAAAAUAUAAAACUGUUCAUGAUUCGGAGACUAUGCUCGCGCUUAAACUGGGUCAAGUUUCGAAUAUUUCGAUAAAUCUAUUGGUUUUUUUUUUUAAAUAUAUUUUAAUUAAUUUUUACAAUUUAAUCUCACGUUUUUUUUUAAUUGUGGGUUGUUAAUAAUUUACAAUGCUUCAAAUACUCUACGGUUUUCGUGAUUUCGGUGGUCGUGGUGCUCGAUGAUGGGCAUAAAGUCUUCGAGACGUCGGAAAUUAUAUAAUGACAAUAGAAAAAGUGGGAUUAAACCAUAAAAGUAAUUUUAAAUAAUCUACUACUCGCGAAAAGUUUUUAAUCAAUAAACUGUUAUUUUUUUGUCAUUUUUAGGAACGCGCCGCCAUAGAAGCCAAGUCAAACCCCGAAGCUGCCAGACAACAAGAAGAGAAAGCCGCUCUCGAUUACAAAGGUCAAUACUACCAGCAAUAAUUAACUAGUGCGAUAUCUCAAGUAAACGUAGUUUAGACCUAAGUAAUUCGAGAUCCGCAAUAUGUACUUUGACGUAAUGUUGUGUCCUGCUCACUCUUAAUGAUUUCAAGUACGUUAAAGUAGAACAGAAUAUUAUGUCGCAGAACAAACCGUCAUCUUGUUGGUGAAAACAGACAUGAUGGACAUUCAACACUCUCGUCUCUGCCGACCAAUAAGAAUUAAUAUAAAGGAUGUAAUUCUACAUCUACUUUUGUUCAUAGCAGACUGACUAGCUUACUUUAUGAACUUUAUCUAAAUACGUAGCUUGACGAGCUUUGGAAAAUUUUAGAACCUGUAAUAUAAUUAAGCCAUGAAUGUGUUCGACAAGAGUUCAUCUCUUUUUUUUGUUUCAAAUUCAAAGCUUUAAAUAUUUCACUUUUACGAACAUUCGAAAUUGAUUUUCCGUAAACAAAUUGAUAACUACCUUGUACAAGUCUAGAUAAAUCUGAAUUUCAAACCACAUAUUAUCUUAAACAUGUAUAAGAACUUAAGCGCACCUUAAUACUAGAAAUAGAAAUAUCAUUAUUUCACAUUUAAUUAAGUUAUAUAAGCAUAAAAUGCACUGUUAUCACAGCACCUAAUCAUAAAAUAGGUUUAACAAUCUCUAUAUACAAGAAAUCUGGUGACUCUCUGUGCCAUUAGCUUCAAACAUGUAGAAUCAAGAAAUAUUUCCUACAUCACUAAAUCAAAUACAACGACAGUAACUAGCCUGUAAGAACAAUGUUUCAACUUUUGUAAAUAAGUUUUUACCUACUCUUGUUAAUAAAGAAAAAUGUUUUAAAUGA